GGGCCCGCACAAGCGGUGGAGCAUGUGGUUUAAUUCGAUGAUACGCGAGGAACCUUACCAGGGUUUAAAUGCAGAACGACAGGGGUGGAAACACCCCUUCUUCGGACGGACUGCAAGGUGCUGCAUGGUUGUCGUCAGCUCGUGCUGUGAAGUGUCGGGUUAAGUCCCGCAACGAGCGCAACCCCUGUGGUUAGUUACCAGCACGUAAAGGUGGGGACUCUAGCCAGACUGCCUACGCAAGUAGUGAGGAAGGUGGGGACGACGUCAAGUCAUCAUGGCCCUUACGUCCAGGGCUGCACACGUGCUACAAUGGUCGGUACAAUGGGUCGCCACCCAGCGAUGGGCG
rnacentral:rRNA from 1 species